rnacentral:rRNA from 1 species
GUCUAUGGCCAUACCACUUUGAACACGCCUGAUCUCAUCUGAUCUUGGAAGAAAGUGAGAAGGCUGGGGAGAGAGCAUACUGGUUAUGCAAAAGACCUUCAUGCCAGAGACU